rnacentral:misc_RNA from 1 species
CGUGGUAGAAGGAAAACAAAGCAAAGUUCCAAAACACCAUGAAGCACCAACUCAUAUUAGUAGAGCAGCAACUUGUUUUCUCUGAAGAGACAUCAAUAAACCCCAAAAUGCAAAUCAACCACAGCCUAAGGAGGGCCGACACAUAUGUGCUAGAGACCUCAGACCAAGAAAGACAUAGGAAGCUUCAAAUAGUCCCCACAGUCAUCCAAGGAUGGAGGUGGUAGGGCUUAUUGGCAACUCACUUGCACCUCAUAGGUCAGCCAUUUGGACUUGACAAGGUACCACCAUUAGAAGAUCUUCAUCCUUUCGCUGUCCAUGGACCAUAUCUCGAACCAAUGAUUUAUUUGCUUCCAGCACAAAGAAAGGAAAAGGCAUUAAAAAACUAGCAACCUAAAGAAACCCUCAACCACACAAACCUAGUUGUAAAAAUCAAAACAAAACAUAUCUACAUCAUGAUCCAAGAUGGGGAGAGAACCUAUGGUUGGAUUAGG